rnacentral:rRNA from 1 species
AGGGAAUCUUCCACAAUGGACGAAAGUCUGAUGGAGCAACGCCGCGUGAGUGAUGAAGGUUUUCGGAUCGUAAAACUCUGUUGUAAGGGAAGAACCAGUACGUCAGGUAAUGGACGUACCUUGACGGUACCUUAUUAGAAAGCCACGGCUAACUACGUGCCAGCAGCCGCGGUAAUACGUAGGUGGCAAGCGUUGUCCGGAAUUAUUGGGCGUAAAGCGCGCGCAGGUGGUUUCUUAAGUCUGAUGUGAAAGCCCACGGCUUAACCGUGGACGUCAUUGGAAACUGGGAGACAUGCAUGCAGAAGCACACAGUGGAAUUCCAAGUGUAGCGGUGCACAGCGUAGAGAUUUGACGGAACACCAGUGGCGAAGGCAACUUUCUGGUCUGCAACUGACGCUGAGGCACGAAAACAUGGGGCGAAAAAC